GGGAAGUUGGCUCAGUGGUAGAGUGCUUGCCUCGCAUGCAUGAAGCCCUGGGUUCAAUUCCUAAGCACCACA
rnacentral:tRNA from 1 species